UUGGGGGUAAAUUUGUCAAUCAACAAAUAAUUUCAAAGACUAUGAAGCUUGACCAUGGAUAUUUUGGUAAAAAUGCCUUUUAUUUCAUUUGGGUUGAAUCUGAGCCGCUGAUUCACAAUAAGUUAUUAGUUAUGGAUCAAAUCUUAACCGUUGAAAUCCUCCAACAAUCUUGAUCUCCUUUUGUAUUUCCCUGAUGUUUUGCUUUCUCCUUUUUCAUACGUUUUCAUUCUUCCAGGGCUUUUAAUCGUGUCACACGUUCUCCCUUUUAUGUCUUUCGUUUUCCUUCGAUCGGUUGUCAAGAUAUGCGAAGCCCGUUACAGGUCGUGUGAGCAGAACUGAAGCAGAGCACGAACGAGGCGAAGCAGAUGAGACUGACCAGACAUUGGUGGAAUGAUCUGGGAUUUAGGGUGUUGCUUUGCAUCACCUGAGAGAGGACGAUCCAAUCCAAGUUGGAUGCAUUUUGGUUGAAAACCAGAUUUUGUGUAUCCCCUUUUUAAUCCUAAUUGAUGGUUUUGGUUCGGUCACUUUUCAUCGAAGCUGAUAGAGAAUUGGGGCUUUGAUGUCGAGGGGAUAUUGCAGUGUGUAAUUGAAGUUGGACAUGUUAAAUCAGGUGAGUUGUUCUUACCACAUCUCUCUAGCAACCUUUCUGGUCAUGCCCCUUUGUUACCCCCAUAAAAUUAAUAAAAUAGAUUUUAAAUUUAAUUUCAAAUACUCUUUUGCUAAAUGGUGAAUUAGUUUAUAUUUGCCUUCUUUUUGUAGCUCUUUCUGUAAGAGAUAAGCUUGAAUCACUGUGUACAACUAGGAGAUUGGCUAGGAUGAAAUUAAAAAGGGAUUUGUUGAAUAUCGAGCUAAGCUACAGGUUGAGUUUCAAAAGAAAGUUUCAGAUAUAAGACUAUUAUUCAAUUUGAUAAAUGCAGCUGCUAAAUUAUCCUUUUAUCUGAUUCUCACAUGAUGCAUUCUCUCAUUUCUCUUCAUGCUUUACCAAGAAUACAAAGUAACAAAGAUUUUGGAGCUUAUAAUGUCAAGCAGCUUGAACAAGAGAUUGAAGGAAAAAUCCAGUGCUUGAAAACAGAGGCUCCAAUAAUAUCGAAUGAUGUGUUAGAGGACAAAUGUGUUGUCCUUGAAAGCAAGGUAUGAUGAUAUUGACAUUGCAUGUUUUGUUUGGCGUUUGCAAACUCAAACUGUCGAUUUUAAAAAAGCUUUUUUCUAAUAGCUAUUAAAAUAAUAUUGCUAUUAUUUCUGCCUUGGCUUUUGUGUGGGUUGAAGUAUCCUUGAAUAUAUAGGUCCAUCAUUCUUGGUUAAGAAAAUAAAUCAAUUUUGUUCUUGAGAUUGUCAAUGGAACAAGAAAGAAGCUUAAUGGAAGAAGAGAGUAGCUGCCCUUGAAAGAAAGGUGGUGAUUGUCGCAAGAAAGAAGCUGAAUGGAAGAAGAGAUAAUCUGCAUUGCAUCUUGAAGUUAAGAACCUCACUGGGAUUCACCUCUGGUGAUCCAUGCCUUUCUCCGAUUCAAUGAGGAAUAUGUUGAUGUCUUAGCUGCAUCCUACCUUUCGGUUAGACCUGACUGAGAGAGAGAGAGAGGAAUAUUGUUGCGGUGGUUGUGACAAAAGAAGAAAUGGAGAUGUUUGGUGAUCUACUACCUCUCACCAUUUUACAGUGCUAGAGACCAUGUUAAUAACAAAAGCAAGGGUCAUGUUCCAGGUAAGUAGGACUGCGCCAUAUAUAUGCUUAUUGUAAGUAUCAAGCAUCAAGGGUUAGUUCAUUAAGCACAUUAUAAAUAUUAAUUUUGAAUUUAGUGUUUUAUUGCUUUUACUGCAAACUGAUGAUGAUUCUGUAAUUUUGGUUAAAAUUAUAUGUAUAACUUAUUUAUAUGCUCUCCUCAUGGAUAUCUCUUGCCAUUGAGAUCUUGACAAGGAAAAUCUUCUGGCCUACAUUAGACGGCAGUCUUUCCUCAUUUAAGUAUGAGAAAAGACAUACAAAGUAUAGGAGCAGAUCUCAUGCUGGAAGAGGAAAAAAGUUGGUUAUGAAAUCAGAUAGGUCUCAACAAGUAAGGUUGGAUGUGCUAGCCGCGAGUCUUCUGCAUAUUUUUCUAAUGCAAACCAAGGACCUGAAAUAUAAUGAGUGAUGCUUGUGAUGAGCUUAGAGCCAAAAUUCAAGCCAUGUUGGUGGCUAACUUAUAAAAGCUGCAUAGGGUUGCCCACUCUAUUGUAUUUCCUCUUUAUCCGAGAUUUGUUCUUGGAACCUAUUUCUGCUAAUAACCUUCUUCUGUCAAUUAGCAUCUAACUUUGCACACUUUUACUCCUCAUUUUUUAUCCUUCAAUCUGACAACAAUCCUUUAUUUUCAGUCAUUAUGCAUUUUAUUGUCAUCGCUUGAAAUUUACCACUUCUCCAGCCCAAUGCAGCAUCUAAUGACUGAACUGUUGACAUUAAAUCUGAGGUUGCGGUAUGUUUACAUAUAAAAUAAGCCAUAAGGCAGUGUCAAAUGUCCUCUGACUGGGGAAACAUUAGUGGCCUCCCAGGCACUGGGAACCAAAUGAAUACAAUAUGUUACCAACUAGAACCGAGCACAAUGCAGGUUGUGCCAAGAAGAAGUCAAUGGUGGAGCACACACAAGAGGAUCAUGAAGCUCACUCAUGGGAACAUCAAAUACAUUACCAAGUCAAGAGCCAAGAGAAUGUGCAGCUGCAUGUGUUUAGUGAAGCUCCAUCGUCAACCUCAUCUUCAUCUUCCUGCCACAGUCCUAUUCUUGCCAAAUUUCUCAGAUUCAAAUUACAAGCUGAGAUGAUGAAGGGUCUCAAACAAUCCUCUUUGUGACAGGAGAAUGUGAAAUCAAGCUAGCAUUAAUUUUAGAGUGAUCCAUGUUUAUUUAUCAUAAAAAAGUGAUCCAUGUUUAUGAUAUAAUAGAGACAUGUUAUUAACUUUGUGCUGUUAUGCUAUGGAGAUGAUUUGACAUUGGUGAA